rnacentral:rRNA from 1 species
UACGAAGGGGGGCUAGCGUUGCUCGGAAUUACUGGGCGUAAAGCGCACGUAGGCGGUCUUUUAAGUCGGGGGUGAAAUCCUGGAGCUCAACUCCAGAACUGCCUUCGAUACUGGAAGACUCGAGUCCGGGAGAGGUGAGUGGAACUGCGAGUGUAGAGGUGAAAUUCGUAGAUAUUCGCAAGAACACCAGUGGCGAAGGCGGCUUCCUGGCCUGUUCUUGACGCUGAGGCGCGAAAGCUAUGGUAGCAAACGGG